rnacentral:rRNA from 1 species
UACGGGGGGGGCAAGCGUUGUUCGGAAUUACUGGGCGUAAAGGGCUCGUAGGCGGCCAACUAAGUCAGACGUGAAAUCCCCAGGCUCAACCUGGGAACUGCGUCUGAUACUGGAUGGCUUGAGUCCGGGAGAGGGAUGCAGAAUUCCAGGUGUAGCGGUGAAAUGCGUAGAGAUCGGGAAGAAUACCCGUGGCGAAGGCGGCCGACUGGGCCGGAUCCGACGCUGAUGCGCGAAAGCGUGGGGAGCAAACAGG